UAAAAGGAGCAGAAGAAAUGAAACGUCCAAACUAGUUGUGAGGAGACCUCAUCUUUAUUUACAACUGACAGGAUGGACUACAGUUAUGUCAGAACUCUCCAUUCCCCUCAACUGGAUGGAUGAAGAGCCGUCGGAGGCUCACAAGAACCCAGUACAUGGAUUGGAAAAAUACCAAAACAGAGAUUCUUGAUCUUAGAGAUGAAGAAUUUUGAAGUGACACAGACCUGGGUUUAAAAUCUGGCUCUGCUACUUACAAGUUCAGUGAACUUGAAACAAAGAACUGCUUUGAACAUGUUUUCCUAUUUCUGAAAUGGUGACAUUAAUGCCUUUCCCAUAGAUUUUUGUGAGAAUUAUAUGAGAAAAUAGGCACUCAGUAACUGCUAACAUAGUAUAUGUAAUGUCUGGUGAAUGUAUGAAUAUAUCAGUCAUGCAACAUUUCAAAAGUUGUAAAUACUUAAGGUUAAAACCUGCAAUUACAAAUUUUCAAAGCCUACCUACCAGCAUAUUUACUUCACACUAAUAUUUUA